rnacentral:rRNA from 1 species
CAAUAGCGUAUAUUAAAGUUGUUGCAGUUAAAAAGCUCGUAGUUGGAUUUCGGGGCAGCCUGGCUGGUCCGCCGCAAGGCGAGUACUGGUCAGCCGCCCUUCCUCUCGAAAGCCCCGACUGCUCUUCGUUGCAGUGGUCGGGUAGUUCGGGACGUUUACUUUGAAAAAAUUAGAGUGUUCAAGUCAGGCCUACGCCUGAAUACAUUAGCAUGGAAUAAUGGAAGAGGACCUCGGUCCUAUUUUGUUGGUUUCCAGGGCCGAAGUAAUGAUUAAGAGGGACAGUUGGGGGCAUUCGUAUUUAAUUGUCAGAGGUGAAAUUCUCGGAUUUAUGAAAGACGAACAACUGCGAAAGCAUUUGCCAAGGAUGUUUUCAUUAA